CCGACCAUAGAUGUCAUUUUCCUGCAUGAUAACUGGCCGUGUGUAGACACAUCAGCGAGAUGACAAGGAAACACCGUAAUUAUAAGAGGAUGUCGUCGAUAGUACGCAGAGCCACCAGUUCUACAGUUAAAAAUCCCAGCAUGGCUGCUCUUGGUUUGGGGGUGAUAACUCUGCUCGUGAUUAUAAAGCUUCUAUAGCAGACGAAGGACGGGCGCUUUUUCCUAUGCAAAGUUCCCACGAUCACCGUCGACCCCACUCCUGUUCAUGGCUGUUGAAGAAAAGCCGCAAAGCAGAAAAACACCUACCCUGGAGCCCAGAGUCACCGCAGGGCUUAUAGCUUACAGUCGGGCCCGCAAAGCGACUGGACGACGGAGUUUCACAGCCUGUCCUACACAACGCACCCCCCCCCC